GCAACAAAAUUGCUGCAACUUGCAACAAAAUCUGAUUUCAACGCAUAUUAAGUAGAAAUGUCGACACAUGUUGCCUUGUGAUUUGUAAUUUAUGCGUAAACAUUUUCAAUUAACAUGCGUUGAAAUCAGAUUUUGUUGCAAGUUGCAGCAAUUUUGUUG